ensembl:lncRNA
UGGCUAUAUAAAAAGGUCAGUUAUUUAAAUAGUUCAUUGGUGUUCAUGGUUAACUGCAAAUGUUUAAUGUGUUCAAGAAUGUAUAUAAUUGCCUGUAAGGUAUGUGAUGUGUGUCAGUUAAAUGCACAACCUUUUUAUUUGUAUUUUGAGGUUUAUGUCAUUAUUUUUGAUUGGGUAUUGAUAUGUACUACAGCUCCAGCGUACCCUGAAGUAGUCUCAGGUAGAGGGGGUGGGAGCAAGGGGGAGCCGUGUGCACUCUGCAGGAAGCGAGGGAGACGAGAGCUGAACAGUGUCGAGUGAACGCAGAGUUUAUAGAAGGGCGACAGACAUAUUUUCGGAUUGACGGAUAGUUGACUGGAGUGAAAAGCUGUUGUACCCUACUGUGAGUAGGAGGAGACGGACGUCUUGCUGGCGUGUCAGAGAGGUCCCUUCUGCUGGUGUGCUGAAGUUAUAUGUUCACGUGGGAGCACGUGGAGAGGACGAUUGAGUGCUGCUGCCGCGGCCUGCUGGUAGCAUUGACCCAGUUUCCCCUGCUAUCCCCUUGAACUGCCUGGAGGUCCCAACGCACCCGAGCCACGACUCAGGCCUGCAACGAGAGGUUUGCUAGCAGAAAGCCUGUAGCACUUGAGGUCUGUGUGUGUCGGUGAGAGUGUGUGUGGGCCCA